UCCCUGGUGGUCCAGUGGUUAAGGCUCUGUGUUCCCAAUGCAGGGGGCCCAGGCUGGAUCCCUGGUCAGGGAA
rnacentral:tRNA from 1 species